AAAUUGAAGAGUUUGAUCAUGGCUCAGAUUGAACGCUGGCGGCAGGCCUAACACAUGCAAGUCGAACGGUAACAGGAAGCAGCUUGCUGCUUUGCUGACGAGUGGCGGACGGGUGAGUAAUGUCUGGGAAACUGCCUGAUGGAGGGGGAUAACUACUGGAAACGGUGGCUAAUACCGCAUAACGUCGCAAGACCAAAGAGGGGGACCUUCGGGCCUCUUGCCAUCAGAUGUGCCCAGAUGGGAUUAGCUUGUUGGUGAGGUAACGGCUCACCAAGGCGACGAUCCCUAGCUGGUCUGAGAGGAUGACCAGCCACACUGGAACUGAGACACGGUCCAGACUCCUACGGGAGGCAGCAGUGGGGAAUAUUGCACAAUGGGCGCAAGCCUGAUGCAGCCAUGCCGCGUGUAUGAAGAAGGCCUUCGGGUUGUAAAGUACUUUCAGCGGGGAGGAAGGUGUUGUGGUUAAUAACCGCAGCAAUUGACGUUACCCGCAGAAGAAGCACCGGCUAACUCCGUGCCAGCAGCCGCGGUAAUACGGAGGGUGCAAGCGUU
rnacentral:rRNA from 1 species